AUCGCUUCUCGGCCUUUUGGCUAAGAUCAAGUGUAGUAUCUGUUCUUAUCAGUUAAUAUCUGAUACGUCCCCCAUCGGGGGACUAUACAUAUUAAAUGGAUUUUUCGAACAGGGAGUCGGAAGCGGGGCUUGCUCCGUCCGCUCCACGCAUCGACUCGGUAUUGCAGUACCUCCGAGAACGGUGCACCCCUC
rnacentral:snRNA from 1 species